rnacentral:rRNA from 1 species
CGCGUAGGCGGACUGGUAAGUCGGGUGUGAAAACUGGCAGCUUAACUGCCAGCCUGCACUCGAUACUGUCAGUCUUGAGUACAGGAGAGGAAAGUGGAAUUCCAGGUGUAGCGGUGAAAUGCGUAGAUAUCUGGAAGAACACCAGUAGCGAAGGCGGCUUUCUGGACUGAUACUGACGCUAAAGCGCGAAGGCUUGGGGAGCAAACA